rfam:Cephalotus follicularis DNA, scaffold: scaffold3170, isolate: St1.
UGGCCGAUGAUGAUAUCGUUCACUAAGUAACCAUCUUUCGGGACUGAAUGGAUUUUUAAUCCCUGCUGUAAUUCUGCAAUUCUGAGGCUA